rnacentral:lncRNA from 1 species
UGGAAGUGUCAAGAACAGCUUUGAGGAAAGACAGGGAAAAAAAUGAAAGAGAGACUGAAGGAACGGCCAUCCUGCCCUACCUAGGGAUUCAUCCUGUCUACACCAAAACCAGACACUAUUGCUGUUGCCAAGAAGUGCUUGCUGACAGAAUUUGGUAUAGCUGUUCUCUGAGAGAUUCUACCAGCACCUGACCAAUACAGAUGCAGAUACUCACAGCCAACCAUCUGACUGAGCUCGGGUCCCAAUGGAAGAGCUAGGGUAAGAACUGAAGCACCUAAAGGGGAUUGCAAUCCCAUAGGAAGAACAAUAUCAACUAAUUAGACCACCCAGAGCUCCCAGAAGCUAAACCACCAAUCAGAGUAUAUAUGGAGAAAUCCAUGGCUCCAGAUCCAUAUACAACAGGGGAUGGCCUUAUCUAACAACAAUGGAUGGGCAGGCCCUUGGUCCUGUGGAGGUUUGGUGCCCCAGCAUAUGGUGAGUGGGUAGAGAAGCACCCUUAUAGAGGCAAAGGGGAGGGUGCAGAUGGGAUGGAGAUUGGUGGAGGGGUAACAGGAAAGGGGGAUAUCAUUUCAAAUGUGAACAAAUAAAAACAGAAUUUUGCAAAAAGUCAUAAAAAAGGAGAAAGGGUUGUAAAUGGUGUAUUGUAUCAACAAAACUAAUUUUUUCUCUUUUUAUCAUACAGAUUUAAUGAUUUGUG